rnacentral:misc_RNA from 1 species
GAUGAAGAACGUAGCGAAAUGCGAUAAGUAAUGUGAAUUGCAGAAUUCAGUGAAUCAUCGAAUCUUUGAACGCACAUUGCGCCCGCCAGUAUUCUGGCGGGCAUGCCUGUUCGAGCGUCAUUUCAACCAUCAAGCCCCCGGCUUGUGUUGGGGACCUGCGGCUGCCGCAGGCCCUGAAAACCAGUGGCGGGCUCGCUAGUCACUCCGAGCGUAGUAAUACAUCUCGCUCAGGGCGUGCUGCGGGUUCCGGCCGUUAAAAAGCCUUAUUUACCCAAGGUUGACCUCGGAUCAGGUAGGAAGACCCGCUGAACUUAAGCAUAUCAAUACCGGAGGA